rnacentral:rRNA from 1 species
UACGUAGGGGGCUAGCGUUGUCCGGAAUCAUUGGGCGUAAAGCGCGUGUAGGCGGUCCGGUAAGUCCGCUGUGAAAGUCGGGGGCUCAACCCUCGAAAGCCGGUGGAAACUGUCGGGCUAGAGUGCGGAAGAGGCGAGUGGAAUUCCUGGUGUAGCGGUGAAAUGCGCAGAUAUCAGGAGGAACACCAGUGGCGAAGGCGACUACCUGGCCCAUUCUUGACGCUGAGGCGCGAAAGCUAGGGGAGCGAACGGG